GUGAGGAAUAUUGCGCAAUGGAGGCAACUCUGACGCAGCCAUGCCGCGUGCAGGAAGAAGGCGCUACGCGUUGUAAACUGCUUUUAACCGGGAAGAAACCCCAGGACGUGUCCUGGGUUGACGGUACCGGAGGAAUAAGCACCGGCUAACUUCGUGCCAGCAGCCGCGGUAAUACGAAGGGUGCAAGCGUUAUCCGGAUUCAUUGGGUUUAAAGGGUGCGUAGGCGGAGCGUUAAGUCAGUGGUGAAAUCCUGCAGCUUAACUGUAGACUUGCCAUUGAUACUGGCGCUCUUGAGUGCGGUUGAAGUGGGCGGAAUGUGACGUGUAGCGGUGAAAUGCUUAGAUAUGGCACAGAACACCAAUUGCGAAGGCAGCUCACUAAGGCGAUACUGACGCUGAGGCACGAAAGCGUGGGGAUCGAACAGGAUUAGAAACCCCGGUAGUCC
rnacentral:rRNA from 1 species